rnacentral:rRNA from 1 species
GUGGGGAAUCUUCCGCAAUGGACGAAAGUCUGAUGGAGCAACGCCGCGUGAGUGAAGAAGGGUUUCGGCUCGUAAAGCUCUGUUGUCGGGGACGAAUGUGCAGUAUUUGAAUAAAGUACUGUAAUGACGGUACCUGACGAGGAAGCCACGGCUAACUACGUGCCAGCAGCCGCGGUAAUACGUAGGUGGCAAGCGUUGUCCGGAAUUAUUGGGCGUAAAGGGAGCGCAGGCGGGAAGGUAAGUCGGUCUUAAAAGUGCGGGGCUCAACCCCGUGAUGGGAUCGAAACUAUCUUUCUUGAGUGCAGGAGAGGAAAGUGGAAUUCCUAGUGUAGCGGUGAAAUGCGUAGAUAUUAGGAGGAACACCAGUGGCGAAGGCGACUUGCUGGGCAGCAACUGACGCUGAGGCGCGAAAGCCAGGGGAGCAAACGGGAUUAGAUACCCGUGUAGUCC